rnacentral:rRNA from 1 species
UCAAAAACAUAGCCUUUAGCCCAACAAGUAUUAAAGGUCUCGCCUGCCCAGUGACUCUUUAAACGGCCGCGGUAUCCUAACCGUGCAAAGGUAGCAUAAUCACUUGUCCCUUAAAUAGGGACUGGAAUGAACGGCUAAAUGAGGAUUAAACUGUCUCUUGCGAGCCGGUCAAUGAACUUGAUUUUCCAGUCCAAAAGCUGGAAUAAACACAUAAGACGAGAAGACCCUGUGGAGCUUAAAACCAAAUUCACCAAAUAAUGCUUCCUUUGGUUUUUAGUUGGGGCGACUUCGGAGCACAAAAAAACCUCCAAAACAUGUAAACCCAUUAUAUUAAGAUUAACAAACCACAAGACCAUAAGACCCAGCAACAGCCCUUAGUGUUGUCUGACCAAUGAACCAAGUUACCCCAGGGAUAACAGCGCCAUCCCCUUCUAGAGUCCUUAUCGACAAGGGGGUUUACGACCUCGAUGUUGGAUCAGGACACCCCAAUGGUGCAGCCGCCAUUAAAGGCUCGUUUGUUCAACGAUUAAAGUCCUA